CUGGAUUUCUCAACAGCCUCCUAACUGGUCCCCUGGAGUAGUCAUGACCCCUCUGGUCCCUUCCUCACCCUCCGAGUGAGCUUUGUAAAUGCGAACUUGACCAUUCCACACACAUAACCUAAGGUUUGAAUCCUGGCUCUACCACUUCACAGCUGUGCGACC